CUACGGGAGGCAGCAGUGGGGAAUAUUGGGCAAUGGCCGCAAGGCUGACCCAGCGACGCCGCGUGUGGGAGGACGCCCUUCGGGGUGUAAACCACUGUCAGGGGGGACGAACGGCGGCGGGGUGAACAGCCUCGACGCGUGACGGUACCUCCAGAGGAAGCGCCGGCUAACUCUGUGCCAGCAGCCGCGGUAAGACAGAGGGCGCGAGCGUUGUUCGGAAUCAUUGGGCGUAAAGCGCGCGCAGGCGGGUGCGCAAGUCGGGAGUGAAAUUCCGGGGCUCAACCCCGGAGCGGCUUCCGAAACUGCGUGUCUGGGGACCGGUAGGGGCCGGUGGAAUUCCCGGUGUAGCGGUGGAAUGCGUAGAGAUCGGGAAGAACACCUGUGGCGAAGGCGGCCGGCUGGGCCGGAUCCGACGCUGAGGCGCGAAAGCGUGGGGAGCAAACAGGAUUAGAUACCCUGGU
rnacentral:rRNA from 1 species